rnacentral:rRNA from 1 species
GAUGAACGCUGGCGGCGUGCCUAACACAUGCAAGUCGAGCGAUUCUCUUCGGAGAAGAGCGGCGGACGGGUGAGUAACGCGUGGGUAACCUGCCCUGUACACACGGAUAACAUACCGAAAGGUAUGCUAAUACGAGAUAAUAUGCUUUUAUCGCAUGGCAGAAGUAUCAAAGCUCCGGCGGUACAGGAUGGACCCGCGUCUGAUUAGCUAGUUGGUAAGGUAACGGCUUACCAAGGCGACGAUCAGUAGCCGACCUGAGAGGGUGAUCGGCAACAUUGGAACUGAGACACGGUCCAAACGCCUACGGGAGGCAGCAGUGGGGAAUAUUGCACAAUGGGCGAAAGCCUGAUGCAGCAACGCCGCGUGAGCGAUGAAGGCCUUCGGGUCGUAAAGCUCUGUCCUCAAGGAAGAUAAUGACGGUACUUGAGGAGGAAGCCCCGGCUAACUACGUGCCAGCCGCCGCCGUAA